AGUUGGGAAGCGUCGCCGGCAUCAGUCGCCCCCGCCGACGGCGCUUUCCGGGGGGCGGGCCCCUUGCUCGCUCCCUAUGUUGCCUUUCGAUGGAAUAUGCCCCCCUCCGUCGGAAGGUCUCAGGGCGGUGAGGUCCCCCAGCUUCACCGCCCACUUUU
rfam:Bradyrhizobium elkanii strain TASWS1015 Contig184, whole genome shotgun sequence.